UACGGAAGGGGCAAGCGUUGUUCGGAAUCAUUGGGCGUAAAGGGCGCGUAGGUGGUUCUGUAUGUCUACCGUGAAAGCGUACGGCUCAACCGUAUUUUGUCGGUGGAAACUGCAGGACUUUGAGGCUGGGAGGGGCUGGUGGAAUUCCCUGUGUAGCGGUGAAAUGCGUAGAGAUGGGGGAGAACACUCGUGGCGAAGGCGGCCAGCUAGACCAGUUCUGACACUGAGGCGCGACAGCGUGGGGGAGCAAACAGG
rnacentral:rRNA from 1 species